rnacentral:rRNA from 1 species
AUUGAACGCUGGCGGUAUGCUUAACACAUGCAAGUCGAACGAUGAGAAAGAGCUUGCUCUUUCGAUUAGUGGCGGACGGGUGCGUAACGCGUAGGAAUCUACCUAUUAGUGGGGGACAACUUAGGGAAACUUAAGCUAAUACCGCAUACGCCCUACGGGGGAAAGAAGGGGAUCGCAAGACCUUUUGCUAAUAGAUGAGCCUGCGUAGGAUUAGCAAGUUGGUGGGGUAAAAGCUCACCAAGGCGACGAUCCUUACGUGGUUUGAGAGAAUGAUCAGUCACACUGGAACUGAGACACGGUCCAGACUCCUACGGGAGGCAGCAGUGGAGAAUAUUGGACAAUGGGCGAAAGCCUGAUCCAGCAAUACCGCGUGUGUGAAGAAGGCCUUAGGGUUGUAAAGCACUUUCAAUUGGGAGGAAAACCUCGAAGCUAAUACCUUCGAGUUUGACAUUACCUUUAGAAGAAGCACCGGCUAACUCCGUGCCAGCCGCCGCGGUAAUAC